AAAAUACAACAAAAUGUUUAAUGAGCAAAUUCGUCUUAGCAAAUAUGAAACUGCCACAGAGAGUAGAGGGACGGGGCCACGGGGCUGGGGCACAGGUCGGGGAAGACUAAGGAGAAGAGAAUCAACUACGUAAGAAACCGGGGAGGGCGGGCACCAGGGAGAGGACCAGAGGCCAAGAGGACGGGAGCUGUGGUCCUGGAAAGGGAGAAGGCAGGGCUCUGGGGGUCGGACAACAAAAUUCAAAAUAGUUUGGCCAUAAAAUAUAAACACACUAUGUUUCUACGGUGGGGAAGGGGAGAAAGAGGGUAAAAGGGAGGAGAGGCUGUUUUGGGGAGGGGCUCUGGGGGUCCUACCCCGCCCUGCUGUGCACCCCCUCCCCAUCCCGACCCCUUCCCUCUGUGUCUGGGUGCAUGUGUCUGUGUGGGCCUGUGCGCGCACUUCCCCAAUUCCCCUCCCCACCCCAACCCCCACCCCACCCUAAUUGCUGCCAUUCCAGUUGCUGCCGGCUGUCAUUCGGCUGUCACUCCUCUGCCCAUCUUCUUCAGAGGGAGAAAAGAGGGGGGGUGGGAGGGGGAGCAGCCCCCAGCCAGCCCUUCCCCCACCCUCCCCCUCCACCUCUACCAGAAGUCCCGGCGGUGGUAAGAGUCGGGGUCACAGUAUUUUGUGACAACCACUCUGUUGGCGAACUUGCGACCCGUCAGGCCCUGCAUGGCUUUCUGGCAGUCAAACACAGAGGUGAACUCCACGAAGAUCUGCGGGGAUAAGAGACCGGUUGUGAAGGCAAGGUGGCCUUUCAGCCUCCAAGGACAAACUGGCUCAGUCAGAGCAACCAGCCAGCAUCUACCCAAAACCCAGAACUCCACAGGAGGGAGAGGGCCUCGCUACAGGUUUGGGAGCAUUUGGCCAACGUCCUGCAGAACCCUAGGAUCAAAGAGGCAUGCAGAGUGAGAAAGAACAGAGGGGAGCUAGAGUCAAGAGUCACAUGGGACACCUGCACGCUCGCCAAGGAAAGAGGUCACUUGUGUGGAAUGUCUUCCCUGUACCGGGCAUUGUGCCGGGUGCUCCCCAAGCUCCCCCCAAGGGCCAUGUUCUCCCCAGAGGACAGAUGAAGGGAAGCUCAGAAAUUAAGAUUCAAACCCAAGGUGAUAAAAAAAAAAAAAAAAAUCCCAGCUAUUUGACCCAAUGAAGUUUCUCAUCUUGUUUAAACCACCAGUUUACAGGAAGUGGAGGGAGGGAGAGGAUAAUACCAGCCUAAUUCUCAAUAUGGGAUUCUGUUAAUACAAAUCUGACCUAUUGCUUCAACAAAAUGGCUGGGGGAGGGGGGGCAGAGACAAUUAUGUAGAACUGAUAAAUUUCGAUAAAGUUUUAUUAAACAAAAUGGCAUGGAUCCUUAAACAGUAUAAAAAGUCUUUUGAAACGUAAAGGAAAUCUGAACACAAACUUAAAUACAUCCUCAGGAUAAUUUUGUUACUGUAAUAACAGUAUUGUAGCUUCAUUAAGAUUUUUUUUAGAAAUGAUCUGUUAAAACGUUUAGAGCAGCACUUCUCAAAACCAGCUUGUGUGUCCCCAGGCGACAUUCUGCAAUGUCUGGAGACGUUUUUGGUGGUCACAAAGGGGGAUCCAAUGCUACCAUCUAGAAGGUGCUUCCAUUUACUGGGUGGAGGCUGGGAAUGGAGCUUAACAUCCAAAAAGCACACAGCACAAAACCCAAAGCAAGUUUUACCAGGCCCCAAAUAAUAAGUUCAGAUAUUAUAGAAACGCCCUUGUUUGUCACAGGUAAAAUUUGGAAAUCUGCUUUAAAUUAUUUUAGGAAAAAAAAGGGAAACUGGGAAGCUAAAUACAGAAAUUAAGAAUGACUAGAUAUGGACAACCUGAAGCUGGGUGAUGGGACAUCACAACGCUGCUAUGUAUGCUCAAUACAACUUAAAUGAUGUACCGUAAUACACCACUACGAUAACUCCACUCUUACAAAUGUUUGAAAAGAAUGAAAAGUUUCGAAACAAAAGAGGCAGGAUGAUCCCAGAGACCAGCCAGGUCUUCCCAUUCAUCCUUCCCACAAGUAUUUACUCCGCCCCUCAAGAGCCAGCCUCCAUUCCAGCAUCUGUCAUAGCACUGACUGCAAAGGACAUGCGGGGAGUGGGUGUUUCUGCCACACAGUGAGGACUGGGCAGGAAAACGGGAGAGGACAUAAUGCCCAUCCGCCCCCUCCCCUCACCCAAGCCCUGUCGUCCCUUGGCCCCUGAUGCUCUUUCCACUGCUUCCUGGGCAAGUUCAUCCAGCUGACACCAAAACGGGUCAGUAUGUUGACGACACCUACACUUCUAUCAGACCUCAUGCCUGGGACGCAGCUCUGUCCUGCUCACGGCUUCCUACACAUCUCUGCUGAGGGGUCAACCUGCCCAUCGACACUGACCCCCUCCCCCACAAACCUGCUCAACUCCCUCGCUUCCUUCUCAUCUGCCAGUUCCACCCAAUCACCAAAGCCACAAGUCUGAGCAUUUUACUGGCCGCCUCUUCCCCCUGCAGCAUAACUCAAAUCAGUGGGCAUUUACAGGUAAUGUGUUUCUCAAAUCCAUGGACUUAUUUCUCUCCGUCCGCCUGAUCACCAUCUUUCACCGAGCUGAUCACAAGCUGUUAGUUGCCAAAGCUCCAGAGAUCUUACCACUAUCCCCUCUGCCCCCUCCAAAUUCCCAGGCUGCGGAGUCCAGCCCUGCAGGGUAGAGGAGGUACCGGCUCUGUAAUCCCUGGCCACCCCUACCUUAUUCUAACGAACCGUCUCCAUGUGCCAGGCCACAGACCACAGUUGGGACCUUUCAAAGGCUUCCUGCUCACUGCAGAGAACACCCAACAUUCCUCUGGGGCUGCUUUGCCACCCUGGGCCUCAGCCCCCAAUCCCAUCUGCUUUAUUCUGCUCAGGCUGCCUGGUCACUGUCCCCAAAGAUACCAGAUCUAUGCUCACUGGGCUCCCUGGCCAGGACCCUACCUGCCUGCUGGGAUAACCUGGUGUCACUUGGGCCUGCUUAGUACUGCCUCUUGGCCUCCAAUCUCAACACUGCAUCCAGAGCAUUCCUCCUCCCUUCCCAGGUACCACCUAAGGUGGCAGAUAUGUUGUCUGCCAAGGCUGGCCCCAGGACUUGGCCAGCUAAAGCCUGAAUCACUAGGUGAGUGGCUGGAUGAACCUAAGUCACCCCCUCUUUCAUGCCUCCCAAGGAGAGCGGAAGGUGCAGACUCCUGGCAGGGGGCCAGAAGUGACAUGCCUCAGUGGGCUGGGAAAUGUGACUGUAUGGCCUGUGUCCUCUGAGGUAGGGCCCAGAAGGCUGCUGUGGGAGUCCAGAGUCGCACAGGGAAGCUUAGUGAGUACCUGGCACCCAGGAGACACAAGCGUGCUUGCUGCCAUUGAGACCGAUGGUCAGCACUUUUCUCCCCACUGCACAGACAAGACCAAACGACUUGCGAGAGGUCAUGAGACAGACCGAAGCUAUGACAGUUGCGGGGCCACACUCCCUAGGGACACCACACCAUGCGGGGAAAGGUGAGGGGAAGGGUGGGCACGCACGCAUGCACACGCACACACACGCACGCACCUUUCCACAGCCGGGCACCUCGACGCCAUCCACAGGCCGGGGGAUCUCAAUGGACUUGACGAGCCCAUACUUGCUGCACUCAUCCCGCACGUCCUCCACAAUCUCCUCGUACUCCUCGUCGUCCAGCAGCUCCUCAGGCAGCACCAUGUUCAUGAGGCACAGGACCUCAGUCGGGUGGCCGCCCAUCUGCACCUGGGAGCUCAUCAGGCCUGGCACUUGCAGGGUCACGGGGGUCUGGUUGAUGGUGCUCUGUGGGGCAAAGGGCAGAGCAGUCACAGCCAAGGCCACACCAGCUGCCCAGAGGCCUACCCAGGGAAAACCAGGCCCUGCCCCUGUAAGGCUCAGGUGCCCACUCAGCACCACCAAAAAGCCAGAGCCAAAGACUUAGAAGGACCUCCUCCCAGCCCCACCCACCCCACCCCACCCCCAGGUGUCCCUCUAGCCAAUGGAAAAUGACGUGCCGGGGGGCUCACCAGCGUGGCAUUCUUGGCUCCCACACUUGCCCUCUGCACGAGCAGUUUCUUAUCCCCCAGCUGCAUCCCGUUCAGCCCUGCGAUGGCCUGUGUUUGAAGGGCGAGGGGGGGGGGGGUGCGGCGAAGAGGUGCGGGUUAGGGGCCAGGAGCUUGACACCUCCCCACAAGCCCCAAUACCCCAGAGCCGGGCAUUGGUGGGGGAGAGGGGAAGGCAAAGGGGUCAGAGCUUGGAAAGAGCCAGAACCGAGGGAAAGGGCUCAAGUCCCCCACGCAGGGCCCCACUGCAGGCCAGCCUCCUCCCGCCCAUCCAGAGGAGGGGAGACCAGUGUGGACACAGAGCAAGGUGCAGGGCAAGGACGGACGCAGCAGCACCAGGGGCCCGGGGCUCACCUGAUCUGUAACGUUGAUGUCCACGUACUCACAGAAGGCAUAGCCCUUGGAGAGCCCCGUGGCACUGUCCUUGACCAGGUUGAAGGCCUUGAGAGGCCCGAACGAUGUCAGCAGCUCUUUUACCUGAGACAGGGCCGCAACUCUGUCAGGGCUGGUUUGGGUAAAGGCUGGGAGGGGAGCAGUCAGGAGGAGGCGAGGGGUCUACCUGGUCAUCAUUCAGGUAAUUGGGUAAGCCCCCGAUGAACAGCUUGUGGGCAGAGUCCGGGACCACGGUGGACACAACUCCUGGGGGAAAAGGGGAGUAAGUAGGCUUUGGUCCCCAAGGCAGGAGCUUUACCCAGCACACAGGGACAGGCCCAUUACGCCUGCUGUGGUGACAACAGGCCCACAUCCCGCCAUCCACAAGCUUACCCCAGGCAUAGCAGGCCAGCCACGGCUGACAGAAACGGGUGUCCCAAACCUGCCCAGCCUCCGAGCGCCCCAAUAGCAGCUCUCCUUGGGGCGCAUGGCGGCACGACAGCAGACAGCCCCGGUGGGAGCCCCAAAGAUGCAAGCUCAUGUCCCAAACCCACCAACCACGGCAGGUCAUGUCUGCGCUCAUCCCACGGGCACACCCACCCCCCUUCCACAUCUCUCAGGCCACAGCUCCACCCUCUUCCCUACCACCCGAUGUCUAGCUCAGGUCUCGGGCUGACCCUCGGUCCCUUCCUCUGUGGUCCUGCACAUUUCACGACUACAACAGCCCGGCACUGUCACACACAGCAGACCAGGGAGUGCCUCGGAGAGGCCUGCUGCUCAGGGUCCAGGGUCCACGAGGGCAGGGACGUGCCCAGUUCACUCAGUACCCAGACCCUGGAGCCCAGGAGGGCUGUCACAGUGCAGUCACACCAGCAGAGUGCCUUUAACGACCACUCUGCGUCUACCCCAACCCUACCGUCUCCACUCGUCUUUGGAUUCAGGGGCCUGCCAGGUGGCUCAGCCCAGGGUCCUAACACCUCCCAGAGGCUCCCAUCAGGUGUGAGCUACCCAGGGCUCGAAGGAAGGGAAACACCACCCACCCAGCCUGACCGGUUCCUGGCUUUCCAAGUCCAGACCCUCCCUCAAUGGCUGCAUGACCUGGCCCUCCUCUGCAGUCCGCACCAAGUGGCUGCGCCCCACUUCCUCCUGACCUGGGGAGGGACAGGGGGGCCUCAGAUCCAAAGCAGGGUAUGCCCUCUCCCACCACCCCAGCCACUCUGACCACCAGAGCCGAGCACCACCAGGGUGUCCGAAGAAGGAUAAGCAGAGGCCACAGGCCAGGCCCUGCACAUCAAACUCGUGAAACCUGAUGCCUUGAUGCUCUCCAAAGCCGUAUCGCAGCAAGACGCAACAGACUAAGGCACAGGAAGGAAUUAGUCCCCUGCAGUCACUCAGACAGAAAGAGGGGCCUCCAAGCACCCGCCCCCCGCCCCCAUCAAUCACGACCCCACAGGUAGCUCUCAGCAAGCUACGGGCUUUGCCUACACAGGCACCACCGCUCUGACCGACGGCAGACAAGCACACGGGCAGGAGUCUCAUCACCCCAACAGGGCAGUGCCAGAGCCAGGGGCGCCUCAGCCAUCAGGCCCAGGCUGUGCCAGGCACCCCAGGGAAGCACACAGUGCCGAGGGCAUCGGGGACGGAGGCUCAAACCCAGGAUGCAGCCCCAAGUGAGCCUCCCUGAGCCUCAGUGUUCUCAUCUGUGAACCAGGGAGAAACCUCACACCUACAACAGAGAAUGACUCACAAGGCCCACACCUAAAACGGGGCCUGAGGCAAGGCUGGCCAGGAUCAGCGAGAUGCCAAGGCCCCAGUGGCUGCAGACGCCGUGUGGACAAUAGUUCUGAAGCUGGCCAGGACGACUCACGCGAGGGUGAUGCAAACUGGGAGCCCAGGUCAGUCCCGGUGCCCAAAAUCAAGCUCUCGGCAACAUCCCCUCCCAACACAAUGGGCAGGCUCCUCCCUGAUCACACAACCUCUUCCCUCAGAGGGGCCACGGGGCACUCCCCUCUCAUCCUCAAUCUUGAAGCCUCACCUCCUCCCAAAGGCCAUGCUGUACCCCCAACGACCAAGCAAUCCUUUCUCGUGCACUUCCUCCUCAGCAGAGGGACCCUGCCACAUGCGCUAACCACAGAGCCUGGCAGAGCAGGGCCCUGCUGAGGGAGCAGGUGCAGAGGCGAAGCCCCGCUGGCAGGAGUCCGGUGGGGGAGAGCACCCAGCACAAAGCCUGGCAGCGGGAAGGUGUGGAGGGCCAAACUAAAUUCACAAACUCAAAGGGUUCUGUGCUUUCCUGCCUCCAAAGACAGCUCUGGCUCUCCCUGCCUCCCCCCUUCUUAUCUUAAAGGACAGUCAGGACCCCCACAUCAGCACUGAACAGCUGGGCCUGACUUUGGUGGGAACGAAUUUAAGGUUUCAUGACUCCAGGUGAUGCGUAUUUACUUUCAAGUCAACACGAUUCCAUCAAGACAAGGAAGUCACUUUCCAGGUUCCUGAAUUGUUUCUCUUCCAACCACAAAUACCUGAACUUUAUCAAACACUUUCCCCUCUAGCCUCUUUAUGUAGUAAGACUGACUUACUUUUUUCUGAAAAGCAAAGAUCAAAACGUGAACUUCACCAUGUUUUUCGAAAAAGCCCGAGCGGAGGAUGCUUAACCUGAAGACAGAUUCACGCUUCCUGCGACAUCCCACUACCCGCCCAGGCCCCUCUGGACAGGCAAACCUCAUGUGAGAAGAUCCACGAGUGACCCUUCAGCUGUUUAAUCACAGCAACAGCCCCUCCAUCAAGGGGAAGACCACCCCGAGCCGCUGUCCCUGGAUGGGACAUGUCCACUCCCACAGGGUGAAGGACACGCGCAGAAGGCAGCACAAGAAGAUGGCAGAGUGACGACUCUGGACACGAGCCAGGUCCCCUGGGAGACCACUAAUCAUGCCCUUGCCUUGCUGGCCUUCUGAGAUGGGCUCACAGUCUCCACAAUGGCAGCAGGCAAACCUUUCAAUGAAAAACCAGGCGGCAAAUAUUUUCAGUCUGUCACACAGUCCUGACACAGGAUCUCUGUCACCCAACUUGGCCACUCCAACACAAAAACACAGAUAAUAAGCAAUGAGUGGGCUGGGCUAUGUGCCAAUAAAUCGUUAAAAAACAGGCAGGGGGCACCUGGCUAGCUCAGUUGGUAGAGCAUGUGCCUCUUGAUUUCAGGUGCAUGAGUUUGUGCUCCAUGUUGGCUUUGAAGCCCACUUUAAAAUUUUUCUUUUCCUUGUUAGUAUUUAUUCAUUUUUUUUGAUAAAGACAGAGCGUGAGUUGGGGAGGGGCAGAGAAAGAGACACAGAAUCCAAAGGAGGCUCCAGGCUCUGCACAGAGCCCAACGUGGGGCUCGAACUCACGGACCGUGAGAUCAUGACCUGAGCCAAAGUCAGAUGCUCAACCGACUGAGCCACCCAGGUGCCCCAGGAGCCCACUUUAAAGAAACAAACAGAAAGCUACGUGUGGCCUCCUACCUGUCACCUGCUGACCAUGUACUUACUAUAGGGCUGUCACAAACAUUAACAUGAUCCACAGCCCACUUGGGGCAGAGCCUGACGCAGCAGACAGCAGCAACCGGUUAUAAAAAUAUAACAUCCUGAAUUUACUUAACAAAAAACAGUAUUUCAUAGCUCCACCUGGGAAACGGUCCCACAGAUGCGUGCACAAAAAGAAGGUCAUCAGGCUGUGCAUUUAGAGUGCGUCAGCAUGUGUCACGCGUCGUUUCUUGAAAGAAUUAAAGAAAUCCACUGAAUUUACCAAAUUAUUACAGCGGAAGACACUGGAGACAAGCUGGGGAACCAGCCUCCAGUCCUGAGGCGCCUGCCAGCCUCCCUGGGACUCCACGUCCCUGACUCUGCCAAGGGUGGACUCGAUUUCUAAAAGGUGUCCUUCUGUGCAAAGCCUCGGCCAACUGCUUACUUGCUCCCCACCCAGAGCACCAGUGCUCACCCACCUUUCCUGGGAGAACUCCAGGGGCCUGAGAUGACGGAACUGGCUCCCCCAAGCCCACAACACUCCCACAGAGGCCCCAAUUCUCACUUACACCCGUCUGCCCACAGGGGCCCGCAAACAGCCUGGAGGUCGAGUCAGGCCUGCUGUCUGUUUCUGUACUUCCCGCUACUGCAGGACCCGUGGGUAUUUCAUGAAACCAAAACGUUGCCGAGCGUAACCGAUAAAGGAUGUGGCGCACAGCCAGACCCGUUCAAUUAGGUAUCACAGGAGGCUGCGUGCAGACUACACCAUCGCCACAGAACAGUCAUGACCAAAACGUACGGCUCACGAAACCAAAAACAUUCACUCUCCGACCCUCUGCAGAAUAAGCUUGCUGGCCCCAGGUCUGCCGUGCUCUCUACUGACCAGGACCGGACACAGCUAUGGGGCACGGCCCGGAGCACGAGACUGAAGAGAAACUAGGACCAAAAUAGGAGGGAACACCCAGAUGCCGACCUCACACUGGGAACUCAAUUGCAAACCGCUGACCUGCUUGUGCUCACACUGACCUCCCAGGUCCCAGAAAAGGAACGACAGGCAGGCUGCAAGCCCCUCACCUCCCUCGACGCCUCCCACGACCCUGGCUCUGCCACUUAUGAGCCGUGCAUCCUCAAGCGGGGAGGACACCAAGCUCUAAAGGUUUGGGGAAACGGAUGAGAAGCACUCACACCACUUCCCAAGCAGCUCUGGCUGGGUCGGGGAGAGAAGGGCGGACGAGUCCCCCACUCACCAGGCACGUAGACAGAGGGGUUCUCCGACAUGCCAGGCAGGGGCUGGUAGUCAUGAGGCCUGCGGAUCUUCAGCGACUGGCCUUGGAAGAUGAUGCCAUCAAAAGCCAUGGCCUGGGUGGUCUCAUCCACGGAGCGAAACUGCAAGAGAAGCGGGUGGUGAGGGUCAGGGAACCCAGCAGACAACAGCCUGCAAAAGGGCCUAGGGCAAACAAGAGCUGCUACAGAGCCACAGGGACCAGGAGGAACACACACUUCCCUGAGCCCACCGUGCACCCAGCUCACCUCCAAGAAAGCAAAGUUCUUGUCCUGGUUAAUCUGCACAGCCAAGACGGGGUUGCCAGGGGCCUGGGUCAGCCCCCCAAGGCGCAUCUGGGCGUUGAAGAAAUCCAUCAUGGCCUCCUGCAGAGGGAAUAGGAGACAGGGGGGGGCGGGGGAAGGGAGGUGGAGAGAGGAGGGGAGGGUGAGAGAGGGAGACACAGACGGGUUUGGGGGUGAGGGGAAGGGAGGGGGUGGGGAAGGGUGGAAGAAGGGAGGGAACAGUGAAAUAGAGAUGGGGGCAGAGAGGAUCAAUAGUAGGAACAGAAGCAGUAGAAAAAUGGGAGAACAGGGAGGAAGGAGGCAGAAGCAAGAGACAGCCAGAGGCCAGGAGCGUGGGGCAGGCCACAGGGGCCCCAACCAGAGAAGAGACAUCAUUCAAGAAAAGCGCAGGGAGACAGUGACAACAAAAAGAGAGUAAAAAGCACGAGAUAGAACAGAAAACGAAACAUAAAAAAAAAAAAAAAGUCCAAUAGCGACAAGAAGAAAGCGGUAGGAAAGCAAGAAAGAAAAACCCAGCAAGGACACAGAGCACCAAGUCAGAGAAAAAGAGGAGUGAAGGGACAGGGAAGGUGGAGGAGAGGAGGGCAAGGGCGGGAGGGGAGGAGAAAAGAGUGAUGUGGCGGGAUCUGGCCCUGGAGUCCGGGGGCUGCUUUAUCAAACGUAGCAAAGUGCAGGUUGAGAAAGUCAGAAUGGACCUUACUUGCCUUCGACGACGGUAGCAAACUUUUUGUUGCUACGAGGGAUCUCAGCCCCACAAUAUUUCACUUUAAAGAGAAAUGGAAACAACUCUUUGAUCUCGGGAUUCUCGGGGUGCCAUGGGAAGGGGUUGGGGAGAGGGGGAGGGGAGAGGAGCGGUGGGGAAGGUAGGGGAGGUCAGGGCCAUCAAAAACAAAAGAGCAGCGACCAUGGGAGGGACGUGGGGAGAGGAUGGGAACAGGCGGCAGAGAACCAGAGAUGUGUCAGAGAAAACCGAGGGGAGCGUGCGAGUGUGUGCGUGUGUGUGCGUGUGUGUGUAUGCGCGCGUGCGAGUCUCCCUCUCUGUCUCUCUCGAAACGGACUCGUGGAUUUUCGUAGGUUUGUUAUGUGUGUGCUUGAUCCCUGGGUUGCUGGAGGAGGUUGGGAGAGGGGAGACGGGAGAGGGGAAGAGGAGGGAGGGAGAGGGCCACCCCCAGCCCGGCCCCUGGCUGGCUCAACUCCAUCGGUCCAUCUGGGAGGGGGCCGGGGGGCCUUGCAGGAGCAGAAUCUGACCCGUGCAGGUAGGGGGAGGGAAGGGGGGAGGGGAGGA
rnacentral:lncRNA from 1 species